CUGUCCUGCAGUUGCCACGCCCCCUAUACUUUGCCACUCAGUUCCAUCUGUAGUUUACCACACCUGCAAUCAAUCUGCCUCAAUCAGCCACAGGCUCAAAUAGGCAGCACCUGUGCACACAGCCCUUCCUUUGUUUAAAACCACAUGGAGGAUCUUUGAUGCUGGACAUGCUGUGUUUCUUGCCUUGUGUGCGUUAUUGCUCUAUGUAAGUUCCAUAGUUUUACUUGGCAUACUCUGAAAGAAAGUGCUAAUGUCAUUAUAAGGCGAGUGCCUCUCCUGUAUUCCUGUUUGUGCUGUUUAAAGGUGCUGUAUAUUGAACAGUUAAAAGUAAAAUAAGUUUACAUUGCUCGUUUGAGCUACCUGAGAUAUGUGCAUUGGAGUAGUUCUAUUCAUUGUUACGUUAAUAACAGAGCAGAUUAUGUAUGUUUAUUGUGGCCUUGUUUGUGCCUUUGUGAUACUAACUAUAUCCCAUAUCCUUCCCCCUCAGAAACCACACACCCAAACACGUAACUAUACAAACCUGUAACCUGUCUUCUUGAUAAUGCUUGGAAUAAAAGAAUUGUGGAAUUGAAAGUGAUUGGACAAGAACUGUUCUUACUGACACCUCCACUGGUCUCACGCCAGCCACCCACAGCCCUCUACACCUCCUUUUUGGUUAAUUUUUGUUGUUUUCCAUAUCUUGUCCCUAAUAUCUGCAGAAAUGACAAAGACUGGGAAACCAGAUGCCUACUGGGCAGGUGUGAUGUCCCUGUAUGCCCAGGGAAAGUACACAUUUACAACUGGCAAGAGGCCGGGUCCAGGAGAUGGAGGGCGGUAAUGCUGCGGAUUGCUGAUUGUCCUCUGACGCCCCUGAAAGGUCAAACUACUGUCCGCAAACUAGACAUAUUUGGGAAAACGAUACCCUCAGCAGGGAAAGCGGCAUUCAGUGCAGGUCAGCUGUGUCUCAAUUCAGCUGAGAGUUUACAGGCCAGUGCAGGUGCAACAGCUACAGGUUCUCAGGCCAGUGCAGCAGCUGGGAAAGCUGUUACAGUUCCAGGACCACAGACGGGUGUAGCUCAGAAAACUCCAGCUCUGUGCAGGAUGAGCGAGGGGAAGUCUCUCACAUGCUCGCUGUGUAGUCAGGAGAUGUGCGAGGACUACACGCAGCACCUGUCAGACUACCACACCCAGGAACAGUGUGGUGCAAAGGCCUGGGGGGCUUUUGGAUUGUUACAGCACAUAGAGGAAUGUCACAUUUUGACCAACAGACCUCCCAGAUGUUGCUGCUCCUACCACUCCCAUAGCCCAAGAGACAACACAGCAACCGAGUGACCCACCCGAUGUUCCUGCUCCUCCCACAGCCCAUGAGACGUCACUAGCACCACCACGACACCCACUCACUCUGCAGCCUCCUGAGGUAAACUGGGUGAAUUUUCUACCCAAGCAGUUCACCAGAGUCAUCCAGCCAGCUGACCAGGAGUGGAUCGCCCACAUUUUAUGACAGUACUGGACAGCUGAAACAAAACCUGUCUCAGAACUGGUUUCAUCCCCCCAGCCCCACCAAAUCCAUCUCACCUCCUGAUCCACAUAAUUAUUUCCGCCAGCGGAUGUUCCUGUGGGCUCCAAUGCGGAUGUGGGGCAUCCCUCUGAAAUGCACCCAGUGCAAUAGGAAGAUGGACCAUUCUGGCAUUUACACUAAAGCCAGGGAGGUAAUUGACAUUGAUUCGAAAUAUUACCUGGUGGGUGGAGACUAUCCAAGGUGCAGCAAAUGCAUGAUUCCCGUCUGCCCUUGGAGCAUUGACAUUUUAAAACGGCUCGAUCCCUCCCACCGUUACAAAUUCCCAGCUGUUCUCACAACCCAUUUGGCACUGGACAGGAGGUGUGUUGCGAUGUUGCGCCCAAGAACAUUGGGGAACAGCUCCAGCUAUUUACAGCAAGCCUUGCAGGAGAUACACAGUGAGGAGUGGGCUAGGCGGACCAUCGACUACCUCACUGAUUGUGAGGUCCACAAAAAGUCCUGUGUCCUCACCCAGUCUCAAGCUCUGUAUCAGCUGCCACCACCCUUCAGUCCCCUGCCCCUGGCCCAGUGGUUUGAGACGGUUCAUGCCAAUGACAUUCUGAGUCACCUUGACGAGUUGAAGGGUGUGAUCACUUAAACGCUUGGUAGAAUCUUGAAACUGGACUCUACUAAGAAGAUCACAAAAAACUUGCUGGUGGCAUUGAGGGCACAGCCACAUGGAUGUCUAAUAUCGGCAAUGAAUUUGGGCAAGUGCUGAAUUCUGUGCUGACCACUGGUGAGGGGGCUGGCCUUGAUGACCUUUGUCAAGGCAUCGUCAAAAGGUACAGCGAUGCUGGUGAGCCACAGCCAGAUGCCAUAUAUGUGGACAGAGACUGCUGCAGUGAGACAGGGGUGGGUCCAGUUCUCACUUGGUUUCGACCAUGGACGUCAACGGUGAGACUGGAUAUUUUCCAUUUUAUGAGGCGGUUCACAAAGGGUCUUACGACAGAGCACCACCCACUGUAUGGCACGUUCUGCUCAAAGUUGUCCACUUGAAUCUUUGAGUGGGACAAAGAGGACAUUCACCAACUCAAAGAGGCCAAGAGGGCAGAAUUUAAAAAAGAAAAAAAAAAAAAAAAAAAGCACCAGGGUCACAUACCCACUGACUCUCAGGUGUUAUCCAGCAUCACAUCCAGUGAGCUGGUCAAGCACUGCCGCAGGAGAACCCGAGGAGUUGAGGAGACCCGCGUUCUAAUCCAGCAACUGCUGGACUCCAUGUGGGACCUCACAGACACAAGUGGCUUGCAUCUCAUAAAUCAUGACAGCAUGUCUCUUGUGUGGGAGGUACAGCAGAAGCACUUGCCCUGCAUCCAAGAUCCACCUGGUGUCCAGUUGUACACGAACACUGGAUCAGGCCUGGAGAAGGGAGACAAAACGCUGGACGUCCUAAGAUGUGGCAGAGGAUCCUCCUCGCUCGAGAGCUUUCAUCUGCACCAGUGUGGUUUCAU